rnacentral:piRNA from 1 species
UCCGUAUUUGGUGUCAAGCUGGAAAUGGUU